AAGUCGUAACAAGGUCUCCGUUGGUGAACCAGCGGAGGGAUCAUUACUGAGUUUACGCUCUACAACCCUUUGUGAACAUACCUAUAACCGUUGCUUCGGCGGGAGGGGGUCCCCUCGACCCCACCCCGGCCUCCCGCCCCCGGGCGGGGCGGCACCCGCCGGAGGAUAACCAAACCCUGAUUUAACGACGUUUCUUCUGAGUGGCACAAGCAAAUAAUCAAAACUUUUAACAACGGAUCUCUUGGUUCUG
rnacentral:misc_RNA from 1 species